GAAGAAAAGUCGUAACCAGGGUUCCCGUAGGUGAACCUGCGGAAGGAUCAUUAUUGUAUAACAGGGAGUGUAAAGGCUGUUGCUGACCCUUAAAGGUUGUGCACGCCUAAAGCACUCUUUUAAAAUAUCAUCUAUCUCAUCCCUUUGUGCAUUGCCGCGUAGGCCCUCUUUUUAAAGAAGGGCUUGCGUUUUUACAUAAAACUUGAUAUAAUAGAAUGUUAUAUUUUGCAGUUAUAUGCAAUUAAUACAACUUUCAACAACGGAUCUCUUGGCUCUCGCAUCGAUGAAGAACGCAGCAAAAUGCGAUACGUAAUGUGAAUUGCAGAAUUCAGUGAAUCAUCGAAUCUUUGAACGCAACUUGCGCCCCUUGGCAUUCCGAGGGGCACACCUGUUUGAGUGUCGUGACAUUCUCAAAAACCUUUUCUUUGACCCUUUUGGUCAGAAAAAGGGUUUUUGGACUUGGAGGUUUUUAAUGCUUGCUUUGUAUUAAAAGCAAGCUCCUCUGAAAUAAAUUAGUAGGAUCUGCUUUGCUAAUCCUAAAUGUAAUAAGAUGCUUCUACAUUUUUGGAUUUGGUAUUGUCUUUUUGAAUUCCUGCUUCUAACUGUCUUAUGGACAAUAAUAGUGCCUCUGGCCACUGCUAUCUUGACCUCAAAUCAGGUGAGACUACCUGCUGAACUUAAGCAUAUCAAUAAGCAGAGGAAAAGAAACUAACAAGGAUUCCCCUAGUAACUGCGAGUGAAGCGGGAAAAGCUCAAAUUUAAAAUCUGGUGGUCUUUUGGCCAUCCGAGUU
rnacentral:rRNA from 1 species